rnacentral:lncRNA from 1 species
UUGCGGCUAUGGCAGUAGCCAGAGCUCCCAAUCGUCUUACGGGCAGCAGUCCUCCUACCCUGGUUAUGGCCAGCAGCCAGCUCCCAGCAGCACCUUGGGAAGUUACGGUAGCAGUUCUCAGAGCAGCAGCUAUGGGCAGCCCCAGAGUGGGAGCUACAGCCAGCAGCCUAGCUAUGGUGGACAGCAGCAAAGCUAUGGACAGCAGCAAAGCUAUAAUCCCCCUCAGGGCUAUGGACAGCAGAACCAGUACAACAGCAGCAGUGGUGGCGGAGGUGGAGGUAACUAUGGCCAAGAUCAAUCCUCCAUGAGUAGUGGUGGUGGCAGUGGUGGCGGUUAUGGCAGUCAAGACCAGAGUGGUGGAGGUGGCAGCGGUGGCUACGGACAGCAGGACCGUGGAGGCCGCGGCAGGGGUGGCAGUGGUGGUGGCGGCGGCGGCGGCGGCGGCGGUGGUGGUUACAACCGCAGCAGUGGUGGCUAUGAACCCAGAGGUCGUGGAGGUGGCCGUGGAGGCAGAGGUGGCAUGGGGUAGGUGUCUCACGAGCCAGGGAGUAUCUUUGGUGGGGAGUGUGGAGGAUUGCAUGAAUCUCCCUGAAGCCAGUCCCUAGUGCAUGGUUUAGUAUUCUUGUUGUCUAGGGAUCUGUGAGGGCUUUGAUUUGGGGGCAGUGACUUUCUUUUUACAUCCCCAUUUUAUUUUUGUGAGAACUUGGGAUCCUGAACUCCCAUCCAUACCACUGAAUAGAGAUUUUGAGUAAUGAUACUUGUUUCCAAAAAAAAAAAAGAAACCAUACAUAGAUACGUAUGGAUUGGAGUCAUUAAUAUCCUAGGCAAGAAACAUGGAAGUGAAGACUUCUUUCUCUGCAAGGGAAACCGAUGAUCCCACUCCUGGGAAAUAGUAGGGAAACUUGGUAUGUGUAUUCCCAUGUGUCCUCUAGGGAGUUGGUAAUGGUUAACCUGACUUCAGCUUCCAGGAAUUGGCUACUCUUCCCGUUUUCUAUAGUCAUUUGAAUCCACGAGCUUGAUUUGCACUAAUUUGACCGACAUUGAUUUUGUGUGUGACUUGGUUUAUGGGGCCAGCUGACUGAAGUAAGCAGACCUUUUGGGCAAAAAUAUGCUUUGACAGUGGUCUCCCACCUAUUUGUUCCACUGUCUGCCUUCCCCUGGUUACUUAAAAUUCAUCAGCUUGUCCAACUGGACCUUCUUUCCUUCCUGCUGAAGUUGAUUUGAAGUAAAACCUUAGAUUUGAUGUUAAAACAGUUGUCAAAUCUGUUGGUAAAUAAGAUUUGAAGGACCCUACUCUGUCUCCCAUGAAAAAGGGGAGGAAUGUCAGUGUUACUGUUUUUGGAAAAAGUAGAUUUUUAAACCGAGUUUGGAAAUGGUAAGUAUGCAGAGGUGGGUGGGGGCAAUCUCAAAAACGUGCAAAAAUGAGGAAAACAAAAAUGAGGAAAUGUGUGCGUGUGUUUAAUGCAAAACUUUAAAAAGAAAAACAACUGUUAUGUGACUGUUAACUUGCUCUGCAUUUUAUGUGCCACAGGUAUGAAAGGUGACAUUGCAAAAUACUCCGCUCUUCUCGCAGUGUAGAAGGGGUGACCCCGGGGGUUGGGGGAGAUCAAAAACAGCUCAGUAGUUAGGACAGAGCUUAGCUAAGUUUGUCUUGCUUUAAGGGGAAGUUGCCUUUGGUUUUGACUUUUUAUGGAAUGGGGUUGGGUCUGCUUGCUGCUUUCAAAGCAAAAACCACAAAAAUGUGUUCAAGGCUACCCCAGCCUGGUGUGAAAUGUCUUCUGGGUAAAUUGGGGUAGGGUUUUUAAACCAACUACUUGGUUGUCAACCACUUGCGACAAGAGGAAAAAAAAACAUCUGCUCCAUCGGAAGAACGACCAAGGAAAAUGGGUUAUUUUUUUUCCAGAGGAAAUAGAUACGUAACCUUUUAAAGCAAAAUCUUUAUAAACUGUGUCUGAGAAAUUGCACACGUGUGUGUGACAUGCUCAAAGGUCAGACAAGGGGUGGUCAGGAAGGGAUGUAUUUUAGUAGCCACUUGUAUCUUUUUCCAAAAACACCUACCCGUGUUUGGGGAAUGUUAAACAAAAUCAAAAAACAACCUUUUGUAGCCGUUGGAAGCUUCAUGUCCUUUCUUCUAACUUGUCUUCUCCAGCGGAAGUGACCGUGGUGGCUUCAAUAAAUUUGGUGGCCCUCGGGACCAAGGAUCACGUCAUGACUCCGAACAGGAUAAUUCAGACAACAACACCAUCUUUGUGCAAGGCCUGGGUGAGAAUGUUACAAUUGAGUCUGUGGCUGAUUACUUCAAGCAGAUUGGUAUUAUUAAGACAAACAAGAAAACGGGACAGCCCAUGAUUAAUUUGUACACAGACAGGGAAACUGGCAAGCUGAAGGGAGAGGCAACGGUCUCUUUUGAUGACCCACCUUCCGCUAAAGCAGCUAUUGACUGGUUUGAUGGUAAAGAAUUUUCCGGAAAUCCUAUCAAGGUCUCAUUUGCUACUCGCCGGGCAGACUUUAAUCGGGGUGGUGGCAAUGGUCGUGGAGGCCGAGGGCGAGGAGGACCCAUGGGCCGUGGAGGCUAUGGAGGUGGUGGCAGUGGUGGUGGUGGCCGAGGAGGAUUUCCCAGUGGAGGUGGUGGCGGUGGAGGACAGCAGCGAGCUGGUGACUGGAAGUGUCCUAAUCCCACCUGUGAGAAUAUGAACUUCUCUUGGAGGAAUGAAUGCAACCAGUGUAAGGCCCCUAAACCAGAUGGCCCAGGAGGGGGACCAGGUGGCUCUCACAUGGGGGGUAACUACGGGGAUGAUCGUCGUGGUGGCAGAGGAGGCUAUGAUCGAGGCGGCUACCGGGGCCGCGGCGGGGACCGUGGAGGCUUCCGAGGGGGCCGGGGUGGUGGGGACAGAGGUGGCUUUGGCCCUGGCAAGAUGGAUUCCAGGGGUGAGCACAGACAGGAUCGCAGGGAGAGGCCGUAUUAAUUAGCCUGGCUCCCCAGGUUCUGGAACAGCUUUUUGUCCUGUACCCAGUGUUACCCUCGUUAUUUUGUAACCUUCCAAUUCCUGAUCACCCAAGGGUUUUUUUUGUGUCGGACUAUGUAAUUGUAACUAUACCUCUGGUUCCCAUUAAAAGUGACCAUUUUAGUUAAAUUUUGUUCCUCUUCCCCCUUUUCACUUUCCUGGAAGAUCGAUGUCCCGAUCAGGAAGGUGGAGAGUUUUCCUGUUCAGAUUACCCUGCCCAGCAGGAACUGGAAUACAGUGUUCGGGGAGAAGGCCAAAUGAUAUCCUUGAGAGCAGAGAUUAAACUUUUCUGUCACGGGGAAAGUUGGUGUAUAAAUGAGAAAUGAAG